rnacentral:rRNA from 1 species
GACGAACGCUGGCGGCGUGCUUAACACAUGCAAGUCGAACGGAAAGGCCCUGCUUUUGUGGGGUGCUCGAGUGGCGAACGGGUGUGUAACACGUGAGUAACCUGCCCUUGACUUUGGGAUAACUUCAGGAAACUGGGGCUAAUACCGGAUAGGAGCUCCUGCUGCAUGGUGGGGGUUGGAAAGUUUCGGCGGUUGGGGAUGGACUCGCGGCUUAUCAGCUUGUUGGUGGGGUAGUGGCUUACCAAGGCUUUGACGGGUAGCCGGCCUGAGAGGGUGACCGGCCACAUUGGGACUGAGAUACGGCCCAGACUCCUACGGGAGGCAGCAGUGGGGAAUAGUGCACAAUGGGCUGAAGCCUGAUGCAGCAACGCCGCGUGCGGGAUGACGGCCUUCGGGUUGUAAACCGCUUUCGCCCGUGACGAAGCGUGAGUGACGGUAAUGGGUAAAGAAGCACCGGCUAACUACGUG